UGGGGAAUAUUGCACAAUGGAGGGAACUCUGAUGCAGCGACGCCGCGUGAACGAAGAAGGCUUUCGAGUCGUAAAGUUCUUUUAUAUGGGAAGAUAAUGACGGUACCAUAAGAAAAAGCCCCGGCUAACUACGUGCCAGCAGCCGCGGUAAUACGUAGGGGGCUAGCGUUGUCCGGAAUCACUGGGCGUAAAGGGUUCGCGGGCGGAAAUGCAAGUCAGGUGUAAAAGGCAGUAGCUUAACUACUGUAAGCAUUUGAAACUGCAUAUCUUGAGAAGAGUAGAGGUAAGUGGAAUUGUUAGUGUAGCGGUGAAAUGCGUAGAUAUUAAAAAGAAUACCGGUGGCGAAGGCGGCUUACUGGGCUCAUUCUGACGCUGAGGAACGAAAGCGUGGGUAGCAAACAGG
rnacentral:rRNA from 1 species